ensembl:snRNA U2 U2 spliceosomal RNA
AUCGCUUCUCGGCCUUUUGGCUAAGAUCAAGUGUAAAACACAGUCCUUUAUAAUUCUAAACAAUUUUGGUACUGAAUUUUAAAAAUAUCCUUGAUUCUGGGUAUUGUUCAGGGCAACUGAAGUACCCCCAUCCCUGGUGAGCCACA